GUCCUCACGUGUCAUAUUCCAACUCGAGAGGGUAAGGAUGGCAAAAGCUGUCAUUGACUCGGUACCUUCGAUGGAGUGGGACAUGUGUUGUUCUCUGCACGUGUUCCCUUAUUCCCAAGGGCUGGCUGCUUCUUGAACCAUGAAUUUUGUCUCACGGCCUCCCGAUUCCUUGUCUCAAAAACAUUCCGCAACAGCUCUGAGUGCUACGAACCCGGCUGGGUCAUCUGCUGCUGCCGGCUUCCAGACAUUGUUCCAAACAUUUUCAUACUGGAAGGCUGGUGAUGUCCCAAGACAGUGAGAGUGUAGUUUUCUACUGCCUAAUAUUUGCAGGUACGGGGGAUGGCUCCAACGGACGACAUCUUUGACUUUGAAGAGACCAAUCUGACCACUGUAGAGUAGCCUCAAGCUCCAAGUGAAUGCCUCAAUGCAGCCAAAUUUGCUCAACAUCCAAAAGAGGCCACAGAUGGUAUCUACUGCUUCUGUAAGGUUGAAGAAUACAGUGUAGAGAUCCUGAUGUUAA